rnacentral:Y_RNA from 1 species
GGCUGGUCUGAUGGUAGUAGGUUAUCAAAACUUAUUAACGUUAGCAUCACUAAAGUUGAUAAAUAAUCCCCUACUGCUAAAUCUGGCUGGGUAAAA